rnacentral:misc_RNA from 1 species
UAGAUGCAUACCCAAAUUUCCCUGACAUAAACAAGGGGACAGGAAAAUGAAAAACAAAGCAAAGAAAACAUUGGCCAGGUUAUUAAAUGCAUAAAUAAUUCUAAUAAUCAUUUGCUAAUUUCAUUUCUCAAAUAAACCCAAUAUAAAUUGUUUUCACGCAGUAUCAACUAAAAACACAAGUUUAAAAGAUAAAAUGCUCACUUGACAAUUAUAAAAAAAAAUGGUGAAAAAAAAAAGAAAGAAAAUUACACUUAAUGAUCAAUUACUCUUUCUACUUCCAUCAAAUUAUGACCUGUAGAAAGCAACUAAG